GGGAGAGACUGAGGGGUCUUCUCUGAUGCCCUUGAUCUUGAGCGUUCUCUUCCACUUCAACCAGCGAUCGACAAGGUCAGAAAGUCGACCAACAAGCGUUUUUUGUAAAGUGUGCAUAUUGCACUAUUGUGCCCGUUUAGAGUUUGGUUGAAAAGAGAUAUCACUUCUGAGAUACGACAACGAAUCAGGACCCGUAAUUGUGAACUAAAAGUUACGCGGUUUGUGGUUCUGCCUCGCAGAACCAGACCACACCAUCAAAGGUCAACCUGUGGUCUAGUGGCCGCUCCAGUGACCCCGGAGCCCACCGACUCAUCAAGUCACCUGUACAGUCCAGCCCUGUGGCCUGUACGCCAGCACUCGAAGGUUAUUUGUACCACGUGGUCCGCGGGAGCGACGACGACCCCCCCCCCCCCACGCUGUCUACACGAUGCAAGCUUGAAGAACCGAGAUGAGCUGCACAAGAACCAGGGGCCACGCUUGGCCCAGAGCACGAGCGCAUCGCCGAGGUUUCCAGCGCGAGCAACGGGCGUUCCUUCCGCGAAGGCCAACGACGACCGUGAGGCCCGGAAGUACGCUGAAUCUGGAGGACGAGUCUUGGCGUCGUCCACGUGGUGGAGACGCUGACGAGGAGCAGCAAUAAACGCCAGCCCAGCAAGAUCCCCCCCCACACACACACACACACACAGUUAUAAAAUCUUCAUGACUAAAAUUGGAAUAUUAUACAAAAUACGAAGGAAAUAAAUCGCCAGUUGCAAAAGAA